AGAAUCAACGCUGGCGGCGUGCCUAACACAUGCAAGUCGAACGAGAAAGUGGAGCAAUCCAUGAGUAAAGUGGCGCACGGGUGAGUAACACGUGACUAACCUACCCUUGAGUUCGGAAUAACUUCGGGAAACCGAGGCUAAUACCGGAUAAUAUCUACGGAUCAAAGGAGCAAUUCGCUUAAGGAGGGGGUCGCGGCAGAUUAGUUAGUUGGCGGGGUAAUGGCCCACCAAGACGAUGAUCUGUAUCCGGCCUGAGAGGGCGCACGGACACACUGGAACUGAAACACGGUCCAGACUCCUACGGGAGGCAGCAGUGGGGAAUUUUGCGCAAUGGGGGAAACCCUGACGCAGCAACGCCGCGUGGAGGAUGAAAUCCCUUGGGAUGUAAACUCCUUUCGAUCGGGACGAUUAUGACGGUACCGGAAGAAGAAGCCCCGGCUAACUUCGUGCCAGCAGCCGC
rnacentral:rRNA from 1 species